rnacentral:lncRNA from 1 species
CCAAACCUUGAACAUUCAUGUCGUCUCUGGGAAGUGGCUUUUUGAUUCAGCACUGGUACUUUCCAGUGUCAGCACUUGUAUGUGUCAGUAGCUAAGUCUCUCGUCCAAGGGCCCCAGGUUCUCAGCCUCUGCUUCAUCUCAGGAAAGCCCUCUGGCAGUUGAAGAGAAUGGGUGCCGAUUUCAAAUGAAGACUGACUUGAUCCUGAACAUAACCUACAAGAAGAAAGGGACCACAGGCUAUACACAAAGCAUGGUGCCGGCAUCUGCUUCUGGUGAGGGCCUCAGGAAGCUUACAAUCAUCUUGGAAGGUGAAGAGGAAGCCAGCGCAUCACAUGGCAAGAGAGGGAGCAAGAGAGAAGGGGACAGUGCCGCACACUUUAAAAAAAAACCUUAUCUCACGAGGCAGAACUAACUGAGUGAGAGUUCACUCAUCACCAAGGGAAUGGUGCUGAGUCAUUCAUGAGGGAUCCCCCUGCCGCCCCCGUGAUCCAAUCACCUCCCACCAGACCCCACCUCCAACACUGGGGAUUACAUUUCAACAUGAGACUUGGGGGGGACAAACAUCCAAACCAUGUCAGUCUUCAACCCCUCUUCCUGACAUACAACUCCUAAAACUCUUAGAAUCUCCAAAGUGCUGUCUUUUUAUGUGUUAGUAAUUGGCUAGUGGCUCACAGCCCCUUGGUAGCUUCAGGAUGGGGCCUGGUCACUGGAAAGACCAAGUCAUAAUUAGAGGGUUGAGACUUUCAGCCCACCCCCAACAUCUGGGGAGAAGAGAAGGGCCGAAGCUCAAAUUGAUCACCAAUGGCCAGUGUUUUAAUUAAUCAUGUGGCCAGGCGUGGUGGCUCACGCCUGUAAUCCUAGCACUUUGGGAGGCUGAGGCAGGUGGAUCACGAGGUCAGGAGAUGGAGACCAUCCUGGCUAACACGGUGAAACUCCAUCUCUACUAAAAAUACAAAAAAUUAGCUGGAUGCGGUGGCAUGCGCCUGUAGUCCCAGCUACUCAGGAGGCUGAAGCAGGAGAAUCACUUGAACCCGGGAGGCAGAGGUUACAGUGAGCCGAGAUUACACCACUGCACUCCAGCCUGGGUGACAGAGCCAGACUCCAUCUCAAAAAAACAACAACAAAAAAAGACAAAUAAAAUAAAUAAAAAUAAUGAAUCAUGCCUAUGUAAUGAAGCCUCCAUAAAAACACAAAAGAAUAGGGUUCAGGGAGCCUCUGGAUAGCUGAAUAUCUGGAGGCUCCUAGAGAGUGGCAUGUCCAGAGGGCAUGGAAGCUCUGUGCCCCUUUUUCACCCUAUACACCUCAUCAUCUGUAUGCUUGGUAA